rnacentral:rRNA from 1 species
UACGUAGGGUGCGAGCGUUGUCCGGAAUUAUUGGGCGUAAAGGGCGCGUAGGCGGUUUGUCGCGUCGGGAGUGAAAACCCAGGGCUUAACUCUGGGCUUGCUUUCGAUACGGGCAGACUAGAGGUAUGCAGGGGAGAACGGAAUUCCUGGUGUAGCGGUGAAAUGCGCAGAUAUCAGGAGGAACACCGGUGGCGAAGGCGGUUCUCUGGGCAUUACCUGACGCUGAGGAGCGAAAGUGUGGGGAGCGAACAGG